ensembl:lncRNA
ACGCCAUCAGAACCCCAUAGAACCCCAUAAGAUCCCAUCAGACCCCACCAGAACCCCAUAGAACCCCAUAAGAUCCCAUCAGACCCCACCAGAACCCCAUAAGACCCCACCAGAACCCCAUAAGAUCCCAUAGGAUCCCAUCAGACCCCACCAGAACCCCAUAAGAUCCCAUCAGACCCCACCAGAUCCCAUCAGACCCCACCAGAACCCCAUAAGACCCCCACCAGAACCCCAUAAGAUCCCACCAGACCCCACCAGAACCCCACCAGAUCCCAUAAGAUCCCAUCAGACCCCACCAGAACCCCAUAGAACCCCAUAGGAUCCCAUCAGACCCCUCCGAACCCCAUAGAACCCCAUAAGAUCCCAUCAGACCCCACCAGAACCCCAUAAGACCCUACCAGAACCCCAUAAGACCCCAUCAGACCCCACCAGAACCCCAUAAGACCCCACCAGAACCCCAUAAGAUCCCAUCAGACCCCUCCAGAACCCCAUAGAACCCCACCAGAACCUCAUAAGACCCCACCAGAACCCCAUAAGAUCCCAUCAGAUCCCACCAGAACCCCACCAGAUCCCAUAAGACCCCACCAGACCCCACCAGAACGCCAUAGAACCCCAUCAGACCCCACCAGAUCCCAUCAGACCCCAUCAGAACCCCAUAAGAUCCCAUCAGACCCCUCCAGAACCCCAUAGAACCCCAUAAGAUCCCAUCAGACCCCACCAGAACCCCAUAGAACCCCACCAGAACCCCAUAAGACCCCACCAGAACCCCAUAGAACCCCAUAAUAUCCCAUCAGACCCCUUCAGAACCCCAUAGAACCCCAUAAGAUCCCAUCAAACCCCACCAGAACCCCAUCAGACCCCACCAGGCCCCACAAGAUCCCAUAAGACCCCACCAGACCCCACCAGAACCCCAUAAGACCCCAUAAGACCCCACCAGAACCCCAUAGAACCCCACCAGAACCCCAUAAGACCACACCAGAACCCCAUAAGAUCCCAUAGGUUCCCAUCAGACCCCACCAGAACCCCAUAAGAUCCCAACAGACCCCACCAGAACCCCACCAGAUCCCAUAAGAUCCCAUAAGACCCCACCAGAACCCCAUCAGACCCCACCAGGCCCCACAAGAUCCCAUAAGACCCCACCAGACCCCACCAGAACCCCAUAAGACCCCAUAAGACCCCACCAGAACCCCAUAGAACCCCACCAGAACCCCAUAAGACCACACCAGAACCCCAUAAGAUCCCAUAGGUUCCCAUCAGACCCCACCAGAACCCCAUAAGAUCCCAUAAGACCCCACCAGACCCCACCAGAACCCCAUAGGAUCCCAUCAGACCCCACCAGACCCCAUAGAACCCCACCAGAACCCCACCAGAUCCCAUCAGACCCCUUCAGAACCCCAUAAGAUCCCAUCAGACCCCACCAGAACCCCAUAAGAACCCAUAAGACCCCCCCCAGAACCCCAUAAGAUCCCACCAGACCCCACCAGAUCCCAUAAGAUCCCACCAGAGUCCCAUAAGACCCCACCAGGCCCCACCAGAACCCCAUCAGACCCCACCAGGCCCCACAAGAUCCCAUAAGACCCCACCAGAACCCCAUAGAACCCCACCAGAACCCCAUAAGACCACACCAGAACCCCAUAAGAUCCCAUAGGUUCCCAUCAGACCCCACCAGAACCCCAUAAGAUCCCAUCAGACCCCACCAGGCCCCACAAGAUCCCAUAUGAUCCCAUAAGACCCCACCAGAACCCCAUAGGAUCCCAUCAGACCCCACCAGACCCCAUAGAACCCCACCAGAACCCCACCAGAUCCCAUCAGACCCCACCAGAACCCCAUAAGAUCCCAUCAGACCCCAUAAGACCCCACCAGAACCCCAUAAGAUGCCAUCAGACCCCACCAGAACCCCAUCAGACCCCAUAAGACCCCACCAGAUCCCAUAAGAUCCCACCAGACCCCACCAGAACCCCAUAAGACCCCACCAGGCCCCAUAAGACCCCAUCAGACCCCACCAGAACCCCAUAAGACCCCACCAGAACCCCAUAAGACCCCAUCAGACCCCUCCAGAACCCCAUAGAACCCCACCAGAACCUCAUAAGACCCCACCAGAACCCCAUAAGAUCCCAUAGGAUCCCACCAGACCCCACCAGAACCCCAUAAGACCCCACCAGACCCCACCAGAACCCCAUAAGAUCCCAUCAGACCCCACCAGGCCCCACAAGAUCCCAUAUGAUCCCAUAAGAUCCCACCAGACCCCACCAGAACCCCAUAAGACCCCACCAGGCCCCACAAGAUCCCAUCAGACCCCAUAAGAUCCCAUCAGACCCCACCAGAACCCCAUAGAACACCAUAGAACCCCAUAAGACCCCACCAGAACCCCAUAAGAUCCCAUAGGAUCCCACCAGAACCCCAUAAGACCCCAUAAGACCCCCCCCAGAACCCCACAAAGAACUCCCCCAUCCACCAAAGCUCUGGAAAAGCAUCGCUUUAUUGGGACAGCCGGGGGG